GUGAAGUGUUCAGAUGUAAAAAAUUGGAAAAGUUUUAAGGGGCCGCAUAUGUAUCCGGCCUAAAUUAAUGUGUGCGACUCACUGAGUUUUAUAGGUUAUUGAAAUUGAGUCCGAACCAGGACCACAUGAACUUCAACUUGAUGAAGAAUGGUUGGCUAUCACAAGAAAGUAUAAUGUUGUCUUGCCCUUGACAAUCAGGAAUGUGAACUAUAAUAAUGUACAUCUCGGCAUAGAACAGUGCCGCCAGUUCGUAAGAAAUAAGCUGCAGACAAGAGGAUCCAAGCCGUUUGAAUUUGUUCAGACUGCACCAUGCUACAAACCUUCUCAAUUUGUAGCUGACGGUGUCUUCCAUGGUUUCUAUAAAAACCCUCAGACAUAAGCUCUUCUACAGUUUCUGGACUUGAGUAUCUUCUCAAUAAAAUGCCAGAAUCAAGGAAGUUUGCUG